UACGUAGACCUCAAGCGUUAUCCGGAUUUAUUGGGCGUAAAGAGCAUGUAGGAGGUUUUGCGCGUCUUUUGUUAAGCCCACGGCCUAACCGUGGAACUGCAGGAGAUACGGCAGAACUAGAGGGGGUUAGAGGUGCAUGGAACUCACGGUGGAGGGGUGAAAUCCGUUGAUAUCGUGGAGAACACCAAAGGCGAAGGCAGUGCACUGGGACAUUCCUGACUCUGAGAUGCGAAAGCGUGGGGAGCAAAAAGG
rnacentral:rRNA from 1 species